AGAGUUUGAUCCUGGCUCAGGAUGAACGCUGGCGGCGUGCCUAAUACAUGCAAGUCGAGCGAAUGGAUUAAGAGCUUGCUCUUAUGAAGUUAGCGGCGGACGGGUGAGUAACACGUGGGUAACCUGCCCAUAAGACUGGGAUAACUCCGGGAAACCGGGGCUAAUACCGGAUAAUAUUUUGAACCGCAUGGUUCGAAAUUGAAAGGCGGCUUCGGCUGUCACUUAUGGAUGGACCCGCGUCGCAUUAGCUAGUUGGUGAGGUAACGGCUCACCAAGGCAACGAUGCGUAGCCGACCUGAGAGGGUGAUCGGCCACACUGGGACUGAGACACGGCCCAGACUCCUACGGGAGGCAGCAGUAGGGAAUCUUCCGCAAUGGACGAAAGUCUGACGGAGCAACGCCGCGUGAGUGAUGAAGGCUUUCGGGUCGUAAAACUCUGUUGUUAGGGAAGAACAAGUGCUAGUUGAAUAAGCUGGCACCUUGACGGUACCUAACCAGAAAGCCACGGCUAACUACGUGCCAGCAGCCGCGGUAAUACGUAGGUGGCAAGCGUUAUCCGGAAUUAUUGGGCGUAAAGCGCGCGCAGGUGGUUUCUUAAGUCUGAUGUGAAAGCCCACGGCUCAACCGUGGAGGGUCAUUGGAAACUGGGAGACUUGAGUGCAGAAGAGGAAAGUGGAAUUCCAUGUGUAGCGGUGAAAUGCGUAGAGAUAUGGAGGAACACCAGUGGCGAAGGCGACUUUCUGGUCUGUAACUGACACUGAGGCGCGAAAGCGUGGGGAGCAAACAGGAUUAGAUACCCU
rnacentral:rRNA from 1 species